CAGUGAGAUGUGCGCUCCUCGGAGCGCGGGGCUCACGCCCACAGCGUUGUGGACCAGCUGCAGGGGCCUGAGCUGCCUUAUUUGGUAGCAGAGCCGGCCGUGAUGCUCGGCUCCGAGGUGCUUCCUGAAGUCUGCCUGGGGUCUGCGGUUCCUCACUGCUUCCCGCUCCAGUCUUUCAUUCAACCCUGUGAGGACAGUGACCUCAAAGAUCUAGUUUAUUUUUAUGUACCCCGCACCUUUCAAGUUAUUUUCUGAUGACUGCUUCCUGAUGUUCUGGCCAAUGCAAUAUGAUAAGAGGAAGAAACUGAAGACAUACAACUUUGUAAACAGAGACUGCAAACCGGGCAUGAGUCCUGAGCGGCAGCUGCUGUUCUCCGUGGGCUCUUCACCUGGGCUCAGAGCUACAUGAAUCCUUCUCUGUUCAUCUCACUUCGGCUUCCUUGGCCUUUCCCCUCUUCAUUUUUCCUCCUGUGCCUUCAAGACUACUUAUCUUCCUCCUUCAGCAGUUCAAUUUUAAUUAUCCCUUGCUUCAUGACCUCAUGGGGCUUCUCUGGUGGCUUAAACGGUCAAGAAUCUGCCUGCAAUGCAGGAUACUCAGAUUCAAU